UGGGGAAUUUUGGACAAUGGGCGAAAGCCUGAUCCAGCAAUGCCGCGUGUGUGAAGAAGGCCUUCGGGUUGUAAAGCACUUUUGUCCGGAAAGAAAUCCUUGGCUCUAAUACAGUCGGGGGAUGACGGUACCGGAAGAAUAAGCACCGGCUAACUACGUGCCAGCAGCCGCGGUAACACGUAGGGUGCAAGCGUUAAUCGGAAUUACUGGGCGUAAAGCGUGCGCAGGCGGUUUGCUAAGACCGAUGUGAAAUCCCCGGGCUCAACCUGGGAACUGCAUUGGUGACUGGCAGGCUAGAGUAUGGCAGAGGGGGGUAGAAUUCCACGUGUAGCAGUGAAAUGCGUAGAGAUGUGGAGGAAUACCGAUGGCGAAGGCAGCCCCCUGGGCCAAUACUGACGCUCAUGCACGAAAAGCGUGGGGAGCAAAACAGGAUUAGAUACCCUGGUAGUCCACGCCCUAAAACGAUGUCAACUAGUUGUUGGGGAUUCAUUUCCUUAGUAACGUAGCUAACGCGUGAAGUUGACCGCCUGGGGAGUACGGUCGCAAGAUUAAAACUCAAAUGAAUUGACGGGGUCAUAGCUGUUUCCU
rnacentral:rRNA from 1 species